rnacentral:SRP_RNA from 15 species
GGGUCAGGGUCCGAAUGCAGCAGCCCC